rnacentral:lncRNA from 1 species
GACAUAGAGUCAGAUGGAGGAUUGGGAUACAUCACCUUCACUAUCCAUGAUCAUGAGUAUCUACUGACCAUCAGAGAGCUGGAAGGCUUGUUUGGAUUCCCUAAUGGAACAGGGACUGGGCAAAGGAUUGAUAGGGAUGAAUUGUUGGCUCUUUGAAAAACGAUUGGGAAUGAGAAUAAGUUCGCUUCAUCUAGGACCAAGAGCAACCACAUCAGAA